rnacentral:lncRNA from 1 species
GGGUUCGGGAUUAGCUUGCCCUAGCAAACCGACGGCUUUGAGGUCUGAGCGCUUCAACCCUGACUAACUUUCCCUUCAAACCUUUAUAGUCGAGGAUUCGCCUAUCUUGGCAAAGAGUUUGCUACACUUGGUAUUGUCUUCCCAUGAAGGCUGGUUCCUUGUUCUUCUUCACUUCUCACAUAGAUGGGUCCAGCUGUUUACCUAAUAAGAAGUUGUUUUGUGCAUUCUACAUUCAUAUCACACAUUCAUGUCUACAAAAUCAUACUGUUAGCUGUUAAUGGGCGAAUAAUCAAAGCAGGCUUAAAAUACUGUGACAUUUUUUUCAUACUGUACUAUGACAUUUUUAUUGUAUUAUAUUAUGACAUUUUUAUUAAACUAUAAAAUUAUAUUUUUUGAUCAUACUUUACUAUGGCAUUUUUUAUGAUACUAAAAUAUGACAUUUUAUCAUACUGUACUAUGAUAUUUUAAUCAUACUUAACUUAUUUUUAUUAAAUAUUAUACUAUAAUUUUUUUCAUAAUAUAUAUUUUUAAUCACACUAUAGUACGACAUUUUUGUUGUUUUAUACUAUGAUGUUUUAACAUACUAUACUAUGACAUUUUUAUCACUCUUUACUAUGACAUUUUUAUCGUAUUAUAUUAUGAAAUUUGUAUUAAACCCUACAAUUAUAUUUUUUGAUCAUACUUUACUAUGGCAUUUUUAUCACUCUACUAUGAAAUGUCUGUCAAACUUUAUUUUUAAUCAAGCUAAAAUAUGACGUUUUUUUGUACUGCUCUAUGAUAUUUUAAUCAAACUUAACUAAUUUUAUAAAAUAUUUUAUUAUAUUUUUUCAUAAUAUUAUAUUUUUAUCAUACUAUAGUACAACAUUUUUAUCGUAUUAUACUAUUAUGUUUUAACAUAUGAUAUUCUAAAAUUUUAUCAUACUGUACUAUGACAUUUUGAUCAUUCUUUGAUAUAUUUUUUUCAUGAUGCAUUAUGAUAUUUUUUUGACAAACUAUACUAUGAUAUUUUAUUAUACUAUACUUUAUUUUAAUAAUACUGUACAUUGAUUUCUUUAUCAUUCUAUACAAUGACAUUUUAUCAUGAUAAACUAUGUUUUUUAUAACACUGUUCUGUUCUAACAUUUUAUAGUACUAUACCGUGAUAGUCUUAAAAUACUAUACUGACAUUUUUUCAUACUAUAAUACAUUUUUAAUCAUACUAUACUUUGAUAUUUUCUAUCAAACUAUACUGUGAGAUCUUUAAUCAAACUAUACCACUACAUUUUUGUCAUACGACACUAUGACAUUUUUGCAUACUAUACUUUGACACAUUAAUGAUAAUUUUUUAUGGCAUUUAUAUCAAACUAUACUUUGUUUUAUACUAUACAGUGAUAUUUUUAUUUUACUUAACUAUUAUUUGUUUUCAAAGAAAAUUUCCAUCACACUAUAGUAUGGAAUUUUUUUAACACAAUAUACAAUAUUUUUUGAUACUCAACAAUGAUUUUUUAACAUACUGUACUUUGACAUUUGUAUCAUACUAUACCGUUACUUUGCCAUUCUAUAUUUAAUUUUUUUCCAUAAUAUACAUAGAUAUUUUUAUCAAACUAUAUUGUGACAUUUUCAUAAUUCUGUACUGACAUUUUAUAAUUCUACUCUGUGACUUUUUUUUCUGUCGUACGAUAUAUUUUUUCAUACUAUACUAUGACAUUUCUGUUGUACCACACUAUAACAUUAUUAUCAUACUAUCCAAUGAUGUUUAUAUCAUACCUAACCAUAUUUUUUUUAUAUUAUACUACACUGUGAUAUUUUUAUCAUACUUUACUUUGAAAUUUUUUUUAUCAAACUAAACUGUGAAAUUUAUAGUUUGAAUAUAAAACUAUUGCAUGAUAUUUAUCAGACUUGACUAUGGUAAGGGUUGGGCCAGGGUCAGGGUUAGGGUUAGGGUUGAGGCUUGGGUUAGGGUUAGGUUGAGGUUGCAGCUAGGGUUAGAGUUGGGGUUGCAACUAGGCUUAAGGUUAGGGUUGGCCAGGGUUAGGGUUGGACUAGUGUUAGAAUUAGGGUCGGGUCAGCGUUAGGGUUCAGCUAGGGUUAGAGAUAGGUUUAGGGUUGGGCUAGGGAUAGGGGUUGGGUUAAGGUUGGAGCUCGGGUUAGGGUUGGCGCUAGGGUUAGGGUUGCAGCAAGGAUUAGGGUUAGGGUUAGGGUUGCAGCUAGGGUUAGGGUUAGGGUAGUUGCUAGGGUAAGGGUUGGAGCAAGGGUUAGGGUUGUAGCUAGGGUUAGGGUUGGGCUAGGGAUAGGGGUUGGGUUAAGGUUGGAGCUCGGGUUAGGGUUGGAGCUAGGGUUAGAGAUAGGUUAAGGGUUGGGCUAGGGAUAGGGGUUGGGUUAAGGUUGGAGCUCGGGUGAGGGUUGGAGCUAGGGUUAGGGUUAGGGUUGCAGCAAGGAUUAGGGUUAGGGUUAGGUUUGCAGCUAGGGUUAGGGUUAAGGUAGUUGCUAGGGUUAGGGUUGUAGCUAGGGUUAGGGUAACGCUUGUAGCUAGGGUUAGGGUUGUAGCUAUGGUUAGGGUUAGGGUUGCAGCUAGGGUUAGGGUUAGGGUUGCAGCUAGGGUUAGGGCUAGGGUUAGGGUUGGAGGAAGGGUUAGGGUUAGGGUUAGGUGGCAGCAAGACCCAAUUUUUCAUUUUUUCACCUUCCAGAAUUGUGUUAGGAGCACGUUUCAGGCCACGGGGAGUCUAUAGGACCUAAUUCUAGGGGAAGUUUUUUGAAAAGUUUACUUAGGAAAAUUUACCAAAAAUUUUCGAAGUGUUAGUAAGUGUUAGGGUUAGGGUUAGGGUUAGGGUUGGAGCUAGGGUUAGGGUUAGGGCUAGGGUUAGGGUUGGAGCUAGGGUUAGGGUUAGGGUUAGGGUUGGAGCUAGGGUUAGGGUUAGGGUUAGGGUUGGAGCUAGGGUUAGGGUUAGGGCUAGGGUUAGGGUUGGAGCUAGGGUGAAGGUUAGGGUUGGAGCUAGGGUUAGGGUUAGGGUUAGGGUUAGGGUUGGAGCUAGGGUUAGGGUUAGGGUUAGGGUUGGUGCUAGGGUUAGGGUUAGGGUUAGGGUUGGAGCUAGGGUCAGGGUUAGGGUUAGGGUUGGAGCAAGGGUUAGGGUUGGAGCUAGGGUUAGGGUUUAGGUUAGGGUUAGGGUUGGAGCUAGGGUUAGGGUUAGGGUUGGAGCUAGGGUUAGGGUUUGGGUUAGGGUUGGAGCUGGGGUUAGGGUUGGAGCUAGGGUUAGGGUUAGGGUUUGAGCUAGGGUUAGGGUUAGGGUUGGAGCUAGGGUCAGGGUUAGGGUUAGGGUUGGAGCUAGGGUUAGGGUUAGGGUUGGAGCUAGGGUUAGGGGAAGGGUUAGGGUUAGGGUUGGAGCUAGGGUUAGGGUUAGGGUUAGGGUUGGAGCUAGGGUUAGGGUUGGAGCUGGGGUUAGGGUUAGUGUUAGGAUUAGGGUUGGAGCUAGGGUUAGGGUUAGGGUUGGAGCUGGGGUUAGGGUUAGGGUUAGGGUUAGGGUUGGAGCUAGGGUUAGGGUUAGGGUUAGGGUUGGAGCUAGGGUUAGGGUUAGGGUUAGGGUUGGAGCUAGGGUUAGGGUUAGGGUUGGAGCUAGGGUUAGGGUUAGGGUUGGAGCUAGGGUCAGGGUUAGGGUUAGGGUUGGAGCUAGGGUUAGGGUUAGGGUUAGGGUUAGGGUUGGAGCUAGGGUUAGGGUUAGGUUUAGGGUUCGAGCUAGGGUUAGGGUUAAGGUUAGGUUUAGGGUUGGAGCUAGGGUUAGGGUUAGGGUUGGAGCUAGGGUUAGGUUUUGGGUUAGGGUUGGAGCUGGGGUUAGGGUUAGGGUUAGGGUUGGAGCUAGGGUUAGGGUUAGGGUUUGAGCUAGGGUUAGGGUUAGGGUUGGAGCAAGGGUCAGGGUUAGGGUUGGAGCUAGGGUUAGGGUUAGGGCUAGGGUUAGGGUUGGAGCUAGGGUUAGGGUUAGGGUUAGGGUUGGAGCUAGGGUUAGGGUUAGGGUUGGAGCUAGGGUUAGGGUUAGGGUUGGAGCUGGGGUUAGGGUUAGGGUUAGGGUUAGGGUUGGAGCUGGGGUUAGGGUUAGGGUUAGGGUUAGGGUUGGAGCUAGGGUUAGGGUUAGGUUGGAGCUAGGGUUAGGGUUAGGGUUAGGGUUGGAGCUAGGGUUAGGGUUAGGGUUGGAGCUAGGGUCAGGGUUAGGGUUAGGGUUGGAGCUAGGGUUAGGGUUAGGGUUAGGGUUGGAGCUAGGGUUGGGGUUAGGGUUGGAGCUAGGGUUAGGGUUAGGGUUAGGGUUGGAGCUAGGGUUAGGGUUAAGGUUAGGGUUAGGGUUGGAGCUAGGGUUAGGGUUAGGGUUGGAGUUAGGGUUAGUGUUGGAGCUAGGGUUAGGGUUGGGCUCGGAGCUAGGAUUUUUCUGAGUGCACUGAACCAACUCGCGAGUCUCUAGGACAUUCCUAAAAAAAUUUGAUUUUUUUCCCAUAGGAAUGCAUGGGUUAGGGUUAUGGUUAGGGUUAGGGUUGGAGCUAGGGUUAGGGUUAGGGUUAGGGUUGGAGUUAGGGUUAGUGUUGGAGCUAGGGUUAGGGUUGGGCUUGGAGCUAGGAUUUUUCUGAGUGCAAUGAACCAACUCCCGAGUCUCUUGGAGGUUCCUAAAAA